UGAUUAGAAAUUGGAACGAUAGGGGCCCCGGAAAAGGAAAAAAGUAAAUUAAAAAUGGUCCAGUAUUGUAUGAUAGAAUGGCCAAAGGAGCCUUUAAGACCACAUGUCUUUUGGCCCAUUUUCGGAUGCCUGGCAAACUGGGUUUGCCAGGCCUUAAAUAUACAUGUUAAUUCAAAGGAACCUUUUAGUCAGGAGGAAAGUGAUUAUGCAGGAUUAUGGAUCAGGACUUCACGUCCUUUUUCAGCCUCAAUAUUUACACUAAAAGCAGACGAGAAGAGCGUCGGGUGGGGAAAGAGUG